UUUAUUGCUAAAUGGCUUUUCUCCCUUCGCCGAGUUAGCUGAAACCUUUGUGAAACGUGAAUGAAAAGACUAACAUGGCGAAAGAACACCGUACAUUGAAAGAGGAGUGCAUUUAUAUUGAGCGCUUAAACGAAAACUCGUUUCUCAUCAAGAAAGGCUUUGUCCCAAACAUGAAGGUUGAAGGUAUGUUAGAUAUAUAAACAAGCUGCUCGAAAAACUAAUGUUUGAUGAGCUGAAGCACUGGGCUGGAACUCAAGAGAUCAGUUGGACUACCAGAUGUUCAUUCUGGCUAUGGAUUUGCUAUUGGGAAUCUUUUCAACCAGGGGCUCUUGUUUUAAAGAUGCUGUGCCAUGGAUGGGGAGUGUCCUGUUACUAUUUGUAACAUCAGUGAAGUGAAUGGAAUGCUUCAGUUCUUCAAAUGCUGUAGCAAGCAAGAUUGUGAAUGUGUUAUAUACAGAGCGUUCCCAGAUCCUUCGCUGGUAGAAUGAAAAGGUUAUUGAUUGCUCCUAUAUCUCUCUAUGCGGAGAUUAGCAAUAACAGCAGAGACCAUACUCCCCAUGGCUGAGCCAUCUGUCUUUCAGAAACUGGUCCAAGGAGUAUGAGGUUUGAAGGGUCUGCGAUCUGACAAAUGAUUAUACUUCGUAUUAAGCGCUAGUGUCAUUAUCAAAUGAUCAUUUAAUCACGGCGUCUAAUGUGUUCAGUUUAAAUGAUAUUGGAAUACCUCCGAUUUUCCAA